AUGAUUUGAAACCAUUACCCUUCAAUUCAAAAGUUUCAGUGUUUUUUUGGUUUUGUUUUUUUUUGCGGGAACCUGGUUCCCAACUAGGGAUCAAACUGUGCCUUCCUACAGUGGAAGCUCAAAGCCCUAACCACUGGACCACCAGGGAAUUCCCAGUUUCAAAUUUUUUUAAGUUUAUUUCCCACACUGUCUCUGCCUCAUCCAAGUUCUUAUUUUUUUUCUUUUAGUUUCUUUUAGCUUUCCUUCCUAUUUUUUUUCUAUUUUUCUAAACAGAUUUUAGCAAGUCUCGGCAGUUGUGUUAUGUUUGAGGCAUACCAUGAAAAAUGGAUCAAGAAGGCAGACCCUGUACAUUGGUAGGUAUGAGCUGGCCACCCAAGAUGGCUAUUCUCUUGCUUUCUGCCAGUCCCUUCUUCUACCAGUACCUACUUAGCCUACACCCUACUCACCUGACUGACCUUCCUACAUACUUGCCUCAGCCCUAGCUAAUGACUGUUCUGACCUUUAGAUCAGAACAUCUCCACCUGAUAGCCUAUUUAAGGGGCAGUGAGGGGCAGCGGGCCUCCGCUAGUUUCCCUGGUAACCAAGGAGCCAACCAGAUAUCAAUCCCCCCUGCAACUGGUACCCUCCCCCUCCCGGCGGGACCGAAGCCUGCUGCUGGGCACUGCCCACAGGCCUAUGCCGCGCACUGUGAGGUGUCCCUCCAGGACUUUGCUUCAGACGUUUUCUUUCAGUCUGGACGCCUAGCACGGUGGUUGCAUAUGUGCAAGCAUGUCCUUCCACAGCUGCUGGCAACAGCUGAGCUUCCAAGCCCGGCCCAUCACACAGCGCCCUGAGAGCAGCCCGCAGAGGCUCCCCUUCACCCAUAAGAUAAAGCACUGGAAGGGCUGUGUGGAAUCCACAGGUGGGUGCAGCUCUGCUACAUGAAGCGGGUCCUGAUGAUACUGUUUCCCUUGUCUGACACAAGAGGAUGUAUUUUUCUAUUAUACCCGAAGUAGCACGGACCCAAAGAAGCAUGGACUGAGACAAGGUCCUACUGCCUAUGGUUGGAAGCAAUCUGCAAUGUGAGAUGCACUAUCCAAGUUCACACUCACCUGAACUGAGUCCAGUCUAGUGAUCAAGGGCUGGAGUCUCUGCAAUUUGAAGCUGUUACAAAGGUUUUAAAUUGGCAGGAGAGCUCUAAGUGGGCCUGAAGCACUGACUGCCAGAGCACCAUUGCAGAAAGGACCGUCAGGCCUUGGCCACUUUUGCCACCAUCAGGAUACUUCAGUUGAUGCUAUGCACCAGUUUCUAUUGCAGUUCCUGAGGAUACAAUGUCAUAAGGCCAUUCCUGGAAAGUUCUGAACAGCUUCCUCAAUGCCUAGUUAUUGCUCAAUCUGAAAACAUGGUGUCUUGAGUUCUGCCUUGGAAGAGGCUAAGCAAGAUGGCUGCAGACGGCUGGUGAGGUGUGUCUGG